rnacentral:rRNA from 1 species
UACAGAGGGUGCGAGCGUUAAUCGGAAUUACUGGGCGUAAAGCGUGCGUAGACGGUUAUUUAAGUUGGAUGUGAAAACUCUGGGCUUAACCCAGAGCCUGCAUUCAAAACUGACGGGCUGGAGUUCUGGAGGGGAUAGCGGAAUUCCUGGUGUAGCGGUGAAAUGCGCAGAUAUCAGGAGGAACACCGGUGGCGAAGGCGGGUCUCUGGGCCGAUACUGACGCUGAGGAGCGAAAGCGUGGGGAGCAAACAGG